GGUUAAGCGACUAAGCGUACACGGUGGAUGCCCUGGCAGUCAGAGGCGAUGAAGGACGUGCUAAUCUGCGAAAAGCGUCGGUAAGGUGAUAUGAACCGUUAUAACCGGCGAUGUCCGAAUGGGGAAACCCAGUGUGAUUCGUCACACUAUCGUUAACUGAAUACAUAGGUUAACGAGGCGAACCGGGGAACUGAAACAUCUAAGUACCCCGAGGAAAAGAAAUCAACCGAGAUUCCCCAGUAGCGGCGAGCGAACGGGGAGCAGCCCAGAGUCUGAAUCAGCUUGUGUGUUAGUGGAACGGUCUGGAAAGUCCGACGGUACAGGGUGAUAGUCCCGUACACCAAAAUGCACAGGUUGUGAACUCGAAGAGUAGGGCGGGACACGUGGUAUCCUGUCUGAAUAUGGGGACCAUCCUCCAAGGCUAAAUACUCCUGACUGACCGAUAGUGAACCAGUACCGUGAGGAAAGGCGAAAAGAACCCCGGCGAGGGAGUGAAAAAGAACCUGAAACCGUGUACGUACAAGCAGUGGGAGCACCUUCGGGUGUGACUGCGUACCUUUGUAUAAUGGGUCAGCGACUUAUAUUCUGUAGCAAGGUUAACCGUAUAGGGAGCCGCAGGGAAACCGAGUCUUAACUGGGCGUUAAGUUGCAGGGUAUAGACCCGAAACCCGGUGAUCUAGCCAUGGGCAGGUUGAAGGUUGGGUAACACUAACUGGAGGACCGAACCGACUAAUGUUGAAAAAUUAGCGGAUGACUUGUGGCUGGGGUGAAAGGCCAAUCAAACCGGGAGAUAGCUGGUUCUCCCGAAAGCUAUUUAGGUAGCGCCUCGUGAAUUCAUCUUCGGGGUAGAGCACUGUUUCGGCUAGGGGUCAUCCCGACUUACCAACCCGAUGCAAACUACGAAUACCGAAGAAUGUUAUCACGGGAGACACACGGCGGGUGCUAACGUCCGUCGUGAAGAGGAAACAACCCAGACCGCCAGCUAAGGUCCCAAAGUCAUGGUUAAGUGGGAAACGAUGUGGGAAGGCACAGACAGCCAGGAUGUUGGCUUAGAAGCAGCCAUCAUUUAAAGAAAGCGUAAUAGCUCACUGGUCGAGUCGGCCUGCGCGGAAGAUGUAACGGGGCUAAACCAUGCACCGAAGCUGCGGCAGCGACACUAUGUGUUGUUGGGUAGGGAGCGUUCUGUAAGCCUGCGAAGGUGACCUGUGAGGGUUGCUGGAGGUAUCAGAAGUGCGAAUGCUGACAUAAGUAACGAUAAAGCGGGUGAAAAGCCCGCUCGCCGGAAGACCAAGGGUUCCUGUCCAACGUUAAUCGGGGCAGGGUGAGUCGACCCCUAAGGCGAGGCCGAAAGGCGUAGUCGAUGGGAAACAGGUUAAUAUUCCUGUACUUGGUGUUACUGCGAAGGGGACGGAGAAGGCUAUGUUAGCCGGGCGACGGUUGUCCCGGUUUAAGCAUGUAGGCUGGUUAUCCAGGCAAAUCCGGAUAAUCAAGGCUGAGGUGUGAUGACGAGGCACUACGGUGCUGAAGUAACAAAUGCCCUGCUUCCAGGAAAAGCCUCUAAGCAUCAGGUAACAUCAAAUCGUACCCCAAACCGACACAGGUGGUCAGGUAGAGAAUACCAAGGCGCUUGAGAGAACUCGGGUGAAGGAACUAGGCAAAAUGGUGCCGUAACUUCGGGAGAAGGCACGCUGGUGUGUAGGUGAAGUCCCUGCGGAUGGAGCUGAGACCAGUCGAAGAUACCAGCUGGCUGCAACUGUUUAUUAAAAACACAGCACUGUGCAAACACGAAAGUGGACGUAUACGGUGUGACGCCUGCCCGGUGCCGGAAGGUUAAUUGAUGGGGUUAUCCGUAAGGAGAAGCUCUUGAUCGAAGCCCCGGUAAACGGCGGCCGUAACUAUAACGGUCCUAAGGUAGCGAAAUUCCUUGUCGGGUAAGUUCCGACCUGCACGAAUGGCGUAAUGAUGGCCAGGCUGUCUCCACCCGAGACUCAGUGAAAUUGAACUCGCUGUGAAGAUGCAGUGUACCCGCGGCAAGACGGAAAGACCCCGUGAACCUUUACUAUAGCUUGACACUGAACAUUGAGCCUUGAUGUGUAGGAUAGGUGGGAGGCUUUGAAGCGUGGACGCCAGUCUGCGUGGAGCCAACCUUGAAAUACCACCCUUUAAUGUUUGAUGUUCUAACGUUGGCCCCUGACCGGGGUUGCGGACAGUGUCUGGUGGGUAGUUUGACUGGGGCGGUCUCCUCCCAAAGCGUAACGGAGGAGCACGAAGGUUAGCUAAUCCUGGUCGGACAUCAGGAGGUUAGUGCAAUGGCAUAAGCUAGCUUGACUGCGAGCGUGACGGCGCGAGCAGGUGCGAAAGCAGGUCAUAGUGAUCCGGUGGUUCUGAAUGGAAGGGCCAUCGCUCAACGGAUAAAAGGUACUCCGGGGAUAACAGGCUGAUACCGCCCAAGAGUUCAUAUCGACGGCGGUGUUUGGCACCUCGAUGUCGGCUCAUCACAUCCUGGGGCUGAAGUAGGUCCCAAGGGUAUGGCUGUUCGCCAUUUAAAGUGGUACGCGAGCUGGGUUUAGAACGUCGUGAGACAGUUCGGUCCCUAUCUGCCGUGGGCGCUGGAGAAUUGAGGGGCUGCUCCUAGUACGAGAGGACCGGAGUGGACGCAUCACUGGUGUUCGGGUUGUCAUGCCAAUGGCACUGCCCGGUAGCUAAAUGCGGAAGAGAUAAGUGCUGAAAGCAUCUAAGCACGAAACUUGCCCCGAGAUGAGUUCUCCUGAGACUUUAAGUCUCCUGAAGGAACGUUGAAGACGACGACGUUGAUAGGCCGGGUGUGUAAGCGCAGCGAUGCGUUGAGCUAACCGGUACUAAUGAACCGUGAGGCUUAACCUU
rnacentral:rRNA from 1 species